AAAGUCCAGAAAUGUACACAGCAUCGUCCCACCAGUGCUGAACAGAAAGAAUCACCUCUCUUGAACUGCUGCCAAUUCAUAAAAAUGAAGAAACAUCCACAGACUCACCUGGGCCUGCUACCUGAGACCUGCCUCUUCCUCCUGGACGUGCUGUCACUGUACCUGCUUGCUGCCUAAGGCCAGCCACUUUGCCACUGUUCUUCCCUGCGCUCUUGUUCCUGUAUUGGCUUUAGACCAUUGGGACGGUGUGCAUCGGGACACUGCUGGAUCUUGAUGGUAUACAAAUACCAAAGAACCUCCUCUCCCUCCUACAAAUUGGAGCAAGACAACUUCUGAAUGAAAGAGACAAG
ensembl:lncRNA